AUUCCAGCUCCAAUAGCGUAUAUUAAAGUUGUUGUGGUUAAAAAGCUCGUAGUUGGAUCUCGGCGGACUGAGGGCGGUUUGCUUGCUAGUAUUACUGCCCUAUAGUCCGUAGUUUUGCCAGAGGUUUCGGGGUGCUCUUAAUCGAGUGUCCCGGGAUGCUGGCAGGUUUACUUUGAAAAAAUUAGAGUGCUCAAAGCAGGCUAUUACGCCUGAAUAUUCGUGCAUGGAAUAAUAGAAUAGGAAGUCGUUUCUAUUUUUUAGUGAUUAAUAGGGACAGUCGGGGGCAUUUGUAUUCAAACGACAGAGGUGAAAUUCUUGGACCGUUUGAAGACAAACUACUGCGAAAGCAUUUGCCAAGAAUGUUUUCAUUA
rnacentral:rRNA from 1 species